CUUAGGAAAAAUAGAAACUUUUCUCACUCUCAGAAAUGCACUGAAAUUUACCUAUUUUACUUCCCUCUCCAUGGCAAUGAAUCUGUGCUGAUCCCAAUUAAAGUCUGACAAAGACCAGAGCUGCUGUGAGACACUAAUUUCAUGUUUGAACUUAUUCUGGCUUUCCACUGACAUCCUCUUCCUGGCGCCAUCUGUCCUGCACGUGAGAAGCGAGAGCUUGCCUGUGACGGUGACUUGACUCAGAGAUGUACCAGGCGGCCCCGCCCGGAAGGGAGCAGCGGGAGAGGAGGGGGCCUCUGGCUGGAGCCCGGGUGGAUGGUGGUGUCACUCAGGCAUGGGGCAGCAAAGGCUCUGGUGAGAAGACUUGAAAGCUGGGGUGGGAUGUGUUAUUUGUAAGAAGCCUGGACAAGAGGAUGAGGGGCACACCAUGUCAAUCACGGAUUUAUGAACUCACAGGAGAGGGUUGGAUAGGAUGUGUGAACGUGAGCCUGUGGUGUAGACGAUGUGAAGUCCUGGGGAAUGGGUGGGCUUGUGAUGGCACCUGCUGCUCGCAGCCUAACUCAAGGCCACACCACUUUUCCUUCCCUUUUGUCCUGCUCUGUCCUCUCCAAGGUGGCAAAGUCAUUGCCCCCCUUUCUAGGCUCUGCUGCAGGAGGGCUGCCCAGAGAGACCCCUGGGCCUGAGAUGUAAAUGGAAGUUAUGUAGGGGAGUCCCUGGGAAGCUCUGGGUUUCCACUAACAGGGACAGACAUAGCUCACACCACUGUAGCUCCCUCCUUCCUCUCUUGAUGUGGAGUUAGUAGCUGGAUAUCUAGCAACCUCCUUGCAACCAAGAGGACUUAAAGUCAUCCCAAUAAGGACGGCAGAGUGAAAAGAUGAAGAAAGCCUUUGUCCUCGGUGGCAGGACUCAGCGGUCAGCCAGGACUCACAGCUGUCCUCCUCGGGAAGUCUCACUAUGAGAACAAACCAGCUUUGCUUGUUCAAAUGAUUGUAAUUCAGGUGUUUCAUUAUCUGCUUCCAAAAUAAAGAGGCAUCACUGCCCAUGAUUACAGUCCUGGGCUCUGGAGUCUAAGAUGAAUGAGUCUAAAUCCAGCUCCACCACUGACUGCCCUGGGACCCACAUGCAUUCCCACCCUCUGAGCCCCUGAUUCCUCCCCUGUGAGGUGGGGAGACUCAGCCCUGCCCGGUAGGUGUGCAGGUAAAAGGUAGGAAGGUUAAUGCAGGUGAGGCGCUGCCACAGAGCAGGGCUAUGGACCCGUGAGUGUAAAAACACAGUCACCACCGCAGUGUCCACCUGGGGAGUCAAUGUGGGAGGCUCCAGCAGAGGAAGGAACAGCGUUCGGGAACCGAAGUCCACUGGGAACACCAUGGGAACUGAGAGGUGCUCACAGCAUUGUCAAAACAUCAUUACUCCCGAAUCUGAAACUUACUGGCUGCCGCAGUGAUGCUCAAAGGAAAUGCUCACUGGAGUGCUUUGGAGUUGAGAUUUUUGGAUUAGGGAUGUUCACUUGGUAAGUAUAUAAUACAAACAUUCCCCAUUCCAAAAAAAUUCCAAAUCUGAAAAUGUCUCAUGCCAAACAUUUUAGAAGAGGGAUACUCAGCCUGCAGCAUAAAUCCACCUUAUAGACAAAGCUAAGACACACUGAGGUCCCAUCACCGCCCAACAUCACACCAAGGUCCCAUCACUGCGCAGUGUCACAUGGGAGAUGAGGCCAAGACACACUGAGGUCCCAUCACCACCCAACAUCACAUCAAGGUUCCAUCACUGCCCAACGUCACAUGGGAGAUAAGCCAAGACACACCAAGGUCCCAUCACUGCCCAGUGUCACACGGGAGAUGAGGCCAAGACAUGCCGAGGUCCCAUCACCACCCAACGUCACAUCAAGCUUCCAUCACCCCCCAACAUCACACAGGAGACGAGGACAAGACACGCUGAGGUCCCAUCACUACCCAAUGUCACACAGGAGAUGAGGCCAAGAUACACCAAGCUCCAUCACCACCCAACGUCACACAGGCGAUUUGGAGCAUUUUGCUAAGAGGUUGGGAGUGAGCAUAUGCUGUAUAAGUAGAGGUGAGAUUAGGAAGAACCUCCCAGCAUUAGCAUCUCAAGGUGACUUUUAAAAUCUACUAUUCUUUCUGGGAUACGCACAUGGUUGGGUCUGGGAAUUCACUAAAUCUUUAGAAAUGUGGAGCUUCUGCUGUGUAAGUCCUGAGUUCUUCCAUUUCCUGAGGACCACAGCUUUGAGAUCUGCCCACCUCCUGUUCCACCAUCGCCAGGACUGAACACUGGGACUCUGAUGGUCGCAAUAACCGUGUAGCUCAGAAAAAAUGGAUGGAAAAUGCUCCUGUAAUUCCACCAGCUAACAGCAAUCAAUUUCAUCCAGAAAAAUACAACUAAAAAGCAAUUAACCAAAAACAUUAGAUAAUACUUGGUGGUAGUAACUUGUCAGAUCCCUGGUUUGAGUUUUGAACUCAUGACUUUAAGGUAAGUUCGCUCCCCAAAAGUUUCAACAAUGUCAUAUGUUAAAAAAAAAAAAAGAAAAGAAAAGAAAAAAAG
rnacentral:lncRNA from 1 species